CUCUAUUUUCUUUUAUCUUUUUGAACAUUGUUCUCUUUGUUUCCCUCCUCCAUAGUGGUAGUACCCUCAUUCUCCUUCUUUUUUCCCACCACUUCUCUCGUUCUUUUCAUUUUCGUUAAAAAUCUCACUUUAGGAAGAAGACUACCCGACCACUGUUUUCCAUUUUCACCUUUCCGACCACAAUUUGUUGUUUUUUAGCUAUCGCCCUCACAUGCCGAGAAGAAACAAACACUUCAAAUAAAUUAGCAUUUUGUGGUAUCCAAAAGCCCUCACAAAGCUAUAAAAGCAUCCACAAAUUGUUAGUUUUGUGUCGGGCUUAUGACAGACAAAAAGCUCUUGCAUUUGAGUUGGUCACAAUGUUUAUGAUAGUCUAAACACUCAAUUUUUUUUUUAAUCUAAAAAAAACUUUUUGAGGGUUUAGAAAUUUGUUACUUCAGCCAAAAAUUGGCAUAAAAGAUUGUCUUGAUUAGGUUGAUAAUUUUCAAAGUGAGUUGACAAUGAUACCAUUGAGGAAUGAUCCUCUCGAUAUCAACUUAGUAACAAGAAUUUGAUAUUGUAAUAUUAAAAGAUAAAAUUCAAAUCUUAAAUUAGAGAGUAGUAAAAUAAUAAUAAUUUAUCCUUCGCUAAUUUUUUAAAAACAAAAGCGUAUUAAUGUUUCACUUUUUAAUUUUUAUGACAUAGGAAAAUCAAAUAUAAAAGACAAAGGUAAUUUGAGAAGCAUAGUAACUGUGUGUUUUACUAGACAUUAACAUGUGCCAUACGCGGGUUAGAUAAAAAAACAAAAUGUAUGAAAAUUGUUUAAGAAUAACAUACUUUGUUUAGUCAAAUACAUAAAAUAAAAACUAUUUGCUAGUUGUGUUACAUAAAAUUAAAACAAAAUACAAUCUUAUAAACAUGAUACAAUUUUAAAUGAAUACGUUACUUUAAAUUUUAAAAUAUUUAUUUAUAAACUACAUUUGAAGUGAUGUUUAUUUGUUGAUCUUGAUCGUCAACAAUUAAUAUCUUUAGAUCUUUUUUCGAGAUCAUUGUUGAGAAGACAACAUCUAAUUAUUCAUGAAAAAAGACAAAUUGUGGUAGAUAACCUUCUAGGUGUUUCAAAGAUUAUCCUUUAUUUUUAUUAAUAGUCAUUGCAAAUGAUAGCGCUAAAAAAACUGGCUUCUUUAAAACUUGAAUGAAACUCUUAGAUCAUAAGGUGUCAGUGACAAUUGAAAUAUAUCAAUGCAACACUAAAUAUAGCUAAAUUUUGCUAGAAAUAUUAAACAAAUAUAACACUUAAUAAAUUAUAAAUAAAAGGGCAAAAUAAAAUAAAAACUACUCCAAGUCUUCAAAAAUAACUACAAAGAGUUUGAUUAUUUUUCCGUUAUUGAUUAUUUCUCUUAUGUUGUCUCUUUUGACGACAUAACCUAUUACAAUAUAAAUAUAAAAAUGAAUUGAGAUUUUUAUGAGUUUAAAAUUAAAGACAAUGUUUGAUAUACAACUUUUAAAAUAAUAAUUACAAAGAUGAUCAUAAAAUGAUUGAUCAAUUAAUUUGUUGUCUCUUCUAAUAGACUAAAUUUCUAGAAACAAUACAAAAUCAAAAUGGUUUUGUGGUAGUUCAUCAUCAGUGCUAUUUGUUUCACUUGGAUAUUUGAAUGCAGAUUUUGAGACCACCAUCGAAUGACACGUAUUUUCAAAUUUCAAUCAACGAUGCCAACUUUUAUGUUAGAAAUCGAUGAUAUAUAAAGUAGCAUAGUUAUUGUUAUUCAUAGCAAAACAAUAGUUGUAAGCCUAAUAUAAGUAAAAUGUUAUGAGAUUGAUUCAUUGACCGAGUUAUAAUGUGGCCCGUAUAAAAUACGUUCCUCAUUAAGUUUAUGAAUACCAAAUGAUCUAAUAUCUAACCUUAACUUAAAUGCACCAUUUAGUUCCUUUUGUCCUCAUCUGAAUAACUAAAAGCUUUUUAUGUAAAGGCGUUUUGAAAUAUCAAUUUUAAUUAUUUGAACUCAAAAGGCAUAACUAAUAAAUAUAAUAUAAUUAUCAUUGCAACAAAAUCGGUGUUAUAUUUUAUUAUUUAAUUUGAAAGGUGCGUCGCGAUUACAAUAACUGAUUCAAUUUAUCAAUUUUAGUUAAUGUGAAAACUAAUGUAUUACUCCAUUUACCACACAUGCAUUCCAACCUUCUAUAUUCAUUGAUUUAACAAUUAGAAAAUCGCCUCUUUUAAUAUAAUUAAUUGAAAAUGUUACUAUCAGUUUGUGUUAAUAUGGAGUCAUAUUGUAGUCAUUUUUCAAUGCAAUAUAUAUGGUCCUAGUCAUUUAAGCAAUUUGUCUUCUUUUGAAUGAAUAAUUCAUUAUGUAGGACCACAACUAUUAUAAUUGAAAAGUAAUAUGUAAUAUUUAUGUUUUAUAAUAUUUGUCGUAUUUGACUAUUUUAUAAAUAAAUAAAAAAACAAAUAAAAGAAAGAAAUUGGUGACAUUAUUAAUUUAUUCUUAUUGACCAUUAAUAUAUUAUUGUUAUAAUAAAUAUAAAAUGAAGAAUAAUAAUUUAAGAAUUAUGUAAAUUAUAUUAAUUAUAUGGUACAAUUGAAAAAAUAAUAAUUAAGAUUAGAUUGAAAAUUAAAUUUAACAAUCUUUUUAAAAUAAAUAUUCUUUUGUAAAUAUGACUAUUAUUAUGAGAUAGAAAAAGUAUUAAUGAGUGUAUUUUAAGUUGACUUUUUGAACGGUCAUCUAAAAAUUAGUCGGUUAAAGUUAUGGGAAAUUAGUCGGUUAAAGUUUUGGGAAUUUGUGAAAGUGGCAGGAGAUUUAUAAAGGAAUAUAGGAAAUGACAUUUUCUAAUAACCCCAUAAAAUUGGUAAAUAUCAAGAAGUAAUGUUACGUAGAUAAAAUAAUAUGAUAUUGAACUCUCAUGAGCUUUUAUCACAUCCAUAACUUUAAUUAAUAAUAUUUUGUCUUUAUCUUAAUUUUUUUUAUGGAUCUCUAAGAAUAAAAUUCGGCAUUAAAAACAUAUCACGCUAGAGACGCACCAAUAUUAACUAUCUAAGAUUAUGACUGAUAAUAGAUUAGAUCGUCCGUCAAAUGCGUAUGACCUGACUUACUUAUAGUCUGAUCUGACCUAUUUAAUAAAAACGAUAGACUUGUGCUAUUUUUAAAGCCUAUUUAUUUUAAUAGGUUAGACUUAGACUUAUAAAAAUACCUAUUAUGUCUGACAGACUGAUAUAUAUAUAUAUUUUAUUAUUUAUUAAUAUUAUUUUUUAUUAUUAUAUUAAUAAUAUUAUUUCCUAUUUUAAAUUUUAUCAAUUAGACAAUCACUCAGUAAUCAUUUCAUAUUCGAUAAACGUUCCAUAUUUGAUAAACGUUCCAUAUUUAGUAGUCGUUUCAUAUUCCAUAGUCAUUCAAUUAGUCAAUCACUAAGUUGUCGUCCCAUAUUUCUUUGAGAGGUAAUAAUGGGUGCGUUUGUUUAAUAAAAAAAUUAUAUUUUAGGGUUUAAAGGAUGUUUGAUUCAUUUUUUUUUUAAAUUAUUUUGUUAGAAAAAGUAUUUUUUGUUUAAUAUAUAUAGAUAUGUACAUUGAUAUUGGUAUGUGGAGAACAUCAUGUGGUAUGAGUAAAACAUUUAAAUAUUUUAACAUGAAUAAAACUUUUAAAUAGGUUUCCAGGUUGGUCAGCCCAGACUUUUAAAAAGGCUAGGUCAGACUGAAAAAAAAAAAAAACUUAUCAUAGGUCGUAUGCCAAAAAAAUUAAUCGUUUGUCAGACUUAGAUAUUUCAAAAUAUGACCUAUUUCCACCCAUAUCCAAGAUGUGGCUCAUUGUAAAACACAAUCAACAUAUAAAUUGACCUUAAAUGGAAUUUGAUUGUAUGUGCUAUACAAAGUUCGGUUCCUAUAUUGGUUAACUCAAAGGUUAAAAUAAUAGGAUAGUGUAACGCAACAAACCUCCAUCUCAUUAAAAUUGAAGUAUUGAUAUAAAUUAAAGGCAAAAUAUUACAAAAUUGAAAAACACAAAUGCAUAAUUUUAAUUUCUUUAUUCUAAAUUUAAAAAACUUUUCAUUUGUAAAGAGAUAUCGUAAAAAAUAUUAUGAUAGUCUAUAAUCAUUUUAAAAUUAACAAAAAAACUCCUCAAACUGAUACAAAUAAUUGUUGAGGUAACUAUUGAGUAUGACAUCUAAACAAGAAUACAUAAUAAAACCGAGCAUAAUUUUAUUGUUUGAUCUUUGAGUUCCACCAAAUUUGAUAUUUGAUCCUUCAAUCAAUAGGUGUGCCUUACAUAACAUAUCUCAUUUUUAUAUUGCAAAUCCACUUAUUAUUCCAUUGAUCAACUAAUGCAAAGUUGUUUCCAUUCUUUUUGAAAACGGACUCACUAAAGUUAUUGACACGUAUUACUUGAUUGUGACUAUAAUGAAAAACAAAUUGUGGAGUUCUUUAAUGGUUGCGAACAUAAAUAAAAAACAGAGAAAUUGUUGACAUGAAAAAAAUAAAUUAGGGAAAAUUAGAUUAAGACAAACCAAUUUGUUGGAAACAACAUCAUAAGUUGUCAAGGUUUUAAUUAGAAACUGACUAAAGCUUUAUGGAACUUUUUGGAUUUCUUGUAGAUCAUCGUAUAGGUUGUCCAUAGAGCAAAAAAUUAUCGUUAACGUGAUUAAGUUUUAGUUUAAAGCAAAUUGGAUUAUCAUAUUUUGAUAUUCAACUUCAAAUCUAAAUCUAUCCCUCAAAUUCAUGGCAAAUCUAUUGGGAUUUGUAUGAAUUAUAGUUAUCCAACCACCAAAUCUAAACUUGUAAAAAUCAUGCACUUGAAAGUAUACCAUUGCACGACAAAGUAAACCUCGCCAUCCUUUAUUUCAACAUCAACCUCAAACAUUUGUCAUUUGGAUCUAUUAAAACCUAAUAUAUUGAUAUGGUAAUGUCAUAAUCUCUAACAAAUAAUUGUGAUUUUGUUUACAAAUCCAAAUAAAUGAUUUUACAAAUUAAAAGAUAUGUAUAGCUAAACAAUGUGUAGUACAUAAUGAAUUGAAAAUUGAGAAUCAUCAUUCAUUCAAAAUGAAUUGAAUAUUACCUACUAUUCAAUUCAAAAUGAAUUCAUACAAAUAAUGAAUUGAAAAUUGAGAAUCAUGAUUCAUAAUGAAUUGAAUAUUACCUACUAUUUAUCAAAAAAAUAAAAAAUAAAAAGAUAAGUAUCUGUCAAAAUAAUAAUAUCACAAUUCAUCAGCUAUAAGUUUUCCGAAAUUGGUUUUAAUAGAGCUUUUCAUACCUUGAUUCAUCAAAUAAAUGAGGUUGAGUCACAAUAAAAUAGAAAACAAACACCAAAAGCCAUUAUUUGCAUUGUAAGCCAUUAUGUAGUUUGUUUCAUUUCAUUUGAGAUAGAUCCAAAUCAAUUACUUGUUUGUUGUCAAUUUCAAGAAACCACCGUCCAUAUACAUAUGUCAUUUAAACUAUUAAUUAUGAUUUACAUAUAUUUUUAUUUUAGGCAUUUUUUUUAGAUAUUUUAUGUUGGUACAUGUUGAUAUUUUUUUUAUAUAUAUUUUGAAUAUUUUAGAUACCGUUGUUGUUUAAUUUAAAUAUUAUUGGUGUUAUUUUUAAAAUUAAAUUAUAAUUUAAUAAAUUUUUUAUUGUAGAAAUUAAAUUAUUCAUUUAAUUAUUGUCAUGUAUUACAUUGUUUAUAUUUAAUUAUUAUUUUUUAUUUAUAGAAAUUACACGUGAGAGAAUCAAGUUGACGACUUAUCGGAAAAUUUAAGAAAACAAACUUAAUUUUUAAUUGUAAUUCAUACAAGGACUAAUUCGACCCAAUUUAUUUAUAAAAAAAAUGAAAAGAUAUUUUUAUUCUUUUAAGUGACUAAAAUAAAUCUAUAAAAAUUUCUCAAAUAUCAAAAUCAACCUUUACUGAUGAACCGUAUAAAAAACUUUUAUAUUAUAAAUAUAUAUAUAAAUAAAUCAUAACUUUUAUAUUAUAAAUAUAUAUAUAAAUAAAUCAUAAGUUCAUUGAUAUAAUAUGAAUAUGAUAUAUCAACCACAACUCUUGCACACUUGUGCAAACGCAUAUAAAUCUUGUUAGCAGUGAUAAGAGAAGCUAUGACAUAAAAUAUCUUUGACAUAAAAUAUCUUGAGAAUAAUGGUCCAUAAAAAAGGAGGGUGGGCCUAUUAAUUCCUAACUAACCCAGGUAGUAACUCCAGUUAACAUAUCCUGUCGUCUCAUUCCUCUGCUAUAUAACAACCCCUUGGGUUAAGUCUAUGAAAUNNNNNNNNNNNNNNNNNNNNUUUCCCUCAUUUUACUUUUAUCAAUGGCAUCUGCAGAUGUUGAAUACCGGUGCUUCGUUGGUGGUCUAGCAUGGGCCACCGACAACGAUGCCCUCCAGAAAGCCUUCUCACAAUACGGUGAAGUCAUCGACUCGAAGGUCCGUUUGUUGCAGCCGGCGGAUCUGACACGAUUAUGAUUCGGAUUCGUCUCGAUCCUAUUCUGAUCUGUGAUCUGUUGUGUUACUUGAUUGAUCUAUUAUUCUCUACUGAUUCUGUUACUGUUACUGUUACUAUAUCAUAUCGUUCUUUUAUUACUCACACCAAUAGGUACGUUCAUCUUCAACCUUGAAUUAAAGGCGAAGAUCGAUCGGUUACUAUUCGGUUCUGGAUCUGUUUUUAUCGUGUUUCAUUAGAUCUGAUCUUUGAUUAUUGAUUUUAUGUGUGCAGAUUAUUACCGAUCGUGAGACUGGAAGGUCAAGAGGUUUCGGAUUUGUGACGUUUACGUCGGAGCAAUCUAUGAGAGAUGCAAUUGAAGCGAUGAACGGUCAGGAUAUGGACGGACGUCAUAUUACCGUGAAUGAAGCUCAGUCCCGUGGUAGUGGUGGUGGAGGCGGCCGUGGUGGUGGUGGAUAUGGUGGUGGAGGUGGUUAUGGUGGUGGGCGCCGUGAAGGUGGAUACAAUAGAAGCAGUGGUGGUGGAGGAGGAUAUGGUGGUGGAGGUGGCUAUGGUGGAGGAGGUGGUGGUGGUUAUGGUGGUGGUAGGGAUCGUGGAUAUGGUGGUGGUGGUGAUGGUGGUUCCCGCUACUCUCGUGGUGGAGGUGGUGGUGGUGGUGGAAACUGGAGAGAUUAGUGUAUUAGAUGUUAAGUUUGGUUCAAUCUAUUAUGAUUAUGUAUUUUCUGAUGUUAUUAUUGAUCUAGAAUUGGGCAUCUGUUCUGUUAUGUGGCUUCGUUUUACGUGUAUUUGUAUUUCUGCAUCCGUUAGUGUAUAAACGUGCCUUUUUCUAUGAUAAUUUAGUUACUUUGUAGAUUGAUUAUGUUAUAACAAUACUUUAAAGUGAUGAGUUUAGAUCAAAUAUGAGGUAUUAUAUGUUUCAUCAUUUCACCGUUAAAAAUGACUUGGAUUUACAUCAAAUAUAUUUUAAUGGCGAGAUAAUUAAGAUGAUUCCCUUCUAAAUUUGAACAUGAAAGUAUUCUAAUUCAUGUUGGCAUAGAACUAUUUCAGAGGUCCUAAUAUUCUUCUAAAUCUAUUUGGACCUAUCAGUCCAUCUAAAUUAUGAUCUCCAAGAUCAAACACUUAUUAGCACUGUUACACCUUUGAACAAAAUGUUAUAGCUAAUGGAUGCUCUUAAGUCUCAACAAAAAUUGAGUUAAUUGGGACUUCAAACAGUGUACUCUUUAAUUUGAUAAUAAUAAAGAGGUGGGUUUAAAUGAAACUAUAGUGUCGACUUAAUUUUUGACAUCAAAUCUCACCCCUUUGUUUUGAUUUGAUGCUAAGUGAUUUACUCAAGCUAUUGUGAACUGUCAGUAUCCAUAUCAACAACUAGAUUGUUCGGGUAGAAACUAGCAAGUGAAACAAGGUAUUAUGAGAAUUUGAAGAACUGUUUCUUUUUUUUUUUUUUUUGACGAGAUUGAAGAACUGAAUUAAAAAGCCGAGUAAACUUAAUUUCAACAAUGUAAAUAAAUAACCAGAAAUUGAUUAGCAAAUAAAUUGUGAUUCUAACGGAUGAUGUGUUAUUCGUUUACAUCCUCCACCAUUGUAUAUCCUUACUAUUGUUCCUAGUGCAAUAGUAGCGGCCUAGUGUCGAGACAUCACAAUUCACAGUCAAAGUAUUUGAGAUAAGAAGCAUGAUUUAGAAGUCGGUCGUAAAUUGAAAACAGAGUCAUNNNNNNNNNNNNAAUGCCGAGACAAAUUUAGAAUUUGCUAUUCAAAACCACAUUCCAAAUAUCAAAUUGAUAAUGACAAUUACUAUUGGAGAGUGUGAGGGAGCCCAAUAGUAAAAAUGGAAUGAACGUCGACGAUACGUGAAAGAUUUUGACCGAUAUAUGAGUAAGCUCUCUUAUAUCUCUCACAUUUUUUCCAUUCUUUAUUGAUGUGAAGCUAAUCAUUUGCAUUUGAAUUUCAACAAGUGAUAUCAAAGCUAUAAUUCGGCUUGGUGGGGAAGCAUGAGUGGAUUCUGGUGUUGAAUCAAUUGGUAAUAACAUUACCGUUAGUAAUAACGACAAUACAACUAUAUGAUGCAUGAGACUCACACACUUGAGGGGGAAAUUGUUUGAUUCAAGUGUAAGUGAUAAAGUUUCACGUCCACAAAAAAUGUGGUAAAUGUUUGAAUAAAGGAAUGAUGACUCGUACACUUAAGCAUUAAGGUUUUGGGUUGAAAUGUGGUGUCAAAGUCUCUUGUGAUCUUAGAGCAUUAAAUAACAUGGAAAUUCCAAAAUCGAAGAAAAAAUCACGACCAUUAUCUACAACUUUCUCUUCAUUUAUAAUUCUAAGAGCAUCUACGGCGGUGAACUCAAUAUGGGUUCUUUAGAUGGGGUCCACUGUGCCACAUCAUCUUGAAGUAAUUCACUCAUUUUCUACUUCAACGGUGAACUCAACAUGAUUCCACGUCACCCUAAAUCAAAUCAUUCAUUUUUUAUGGUUUAACUUUUAAAAAAUCAUAUUAUAUUCCAUUACUUUAAUUUAUACAUUAAUAUUUAAUUUUAUUAUAAUUUAAAAUAUUAAUUUAAAUGGAAAAAUAAAUAAAAAAGUACGUUAAUAAAAACUUUAAUAAACUUCUGUAACAAAAAUUGUGAAGAAAAUGUAUGAGUAACAAAUUGUUUCUAUUAAUGAGCUAACAAUCGUUAUUAAAAGAGAAAAAAAAAAAACUAACGGUGGUAUAUUAACUAAAAAAAACUAAUGGUUACAAAAUUAUUAUUAUUUAAUAAAUUAAAAAGAAGUUAACGGCUAUAAAUUAAUAAAAAAAAUUAUAAAUUUAUUAUUAUUAAUAAAUUAAUAAAAGGUAGCGGUUAUAAUUAUAUUAUUAUUAAAUUGUGAAAGUAGAUAAAAAAAAAACAAAAAAAAGUAACUGCUAUAAAGCACCGUUCCUUCCUGACAGUACCGUGAUGACACCUUGGCACAACUCCAACGGUGAACCCACAAAAAACUGGAAGUUAAGUAAUUACACGCUGACGGACGAACUCAUUUUCACUCCGGUUGUAGAUGCUCUAAGCAAUUUGAGACUUUUUCAAAUCCUCAAUUUCAAUCAAACCUAAUAAUCUCCACCUAGAUUAAAAUUGACGAAUCUUCAACUUUCAUUAUCUACACUGACAAUCCUAAUUCAAAAGAACCACCAUACUCCACCAUAAAAAUUAUACUUCACUUGAAGCCAAACCACUUCAAAAAAAAUGUCUCCAUGUCGAAACCAUGCUGAAAAAUAUAGUGCAACCUCCAUCUCCAUGUAGGUUUUCUCAAGAAAUUCUCUAGCAACCGACAUAAUUUAACCACACAUCUUGCAUCAAUGACAACCAAUGUUCAUGUGUUAGCCAACACAUUGUGUAAUUCUGAUUGUAUCAACAUAAUAUUGACUUGAAUUUUCCACAAGACAAAUAUGAUUCUUCCAUCAAAUUUCUUUAUCCCAAACACCAUAGCGGAACUUGACAUAUUGUAAUUGUGCACCAAGUAGGAUCUCAGGAAGAAAGGUGGGUCAUAAAAGACCACUUAAUAAUUAUGUCUUUCCUUAGCCAGAACUUUUCCUAAACAACACUUCUACAAUAUAACCUUUCUUUCCUAAUGUGGGAUAUCAACAAAGUUGCAACAACAUAACAUACUAAGAGUUUUGUUUCUCUAAACCAAACCAAAAGCUAUUGAUACCACUUAUUGAGGAGUUUGGAGAAGCGCGACAAUAAUAAUACUUCUCUUAUAUAUCAAAUAUUUCCUCAAUUUUUAAUCGAUGUUAGAUUAACCACUUACACUUGAACUCCAACAAUCAUAUCAUCUAACGAAAGUGACUAGUACGCAAUAUGUGAGUGUGUGUUGUAAAUGUUAGAGUACAAAUUCCAUUUCUAUUCAUAAAAAAUAUUGUUAAUGACGAGUUUUGUUUUACUUUUUCAAAACAACCUUAAAAUAGCAUGUUCAUAUUAUGUAAAGUGAGAUUUUUUAGAUUAUUUGAAUAGUUUCUCCAGUUAUAUGCAAAUGUUUAUUGUUGAAUGUUGAUCAAUUUUUCUUGUUUAAGAUCCAUGAUCAUUAUGUGCUCUGGUCCUCAUAUAGUAAUGUAUGAAUGAGAUUGGAUUUUCUCAACUAUUUAUAUUAAUUAUGCAUUCUUUUGGUGCAAUGCUAUGAAUUUGCAUUUUUUUUUCAUGCAAAUUAUUGCUUGAAAUGCUUUCUUCAUCAAGUUACAUUCAAACUAAGUUUUCUGUCUUUAUUUUCAAUUCAACUUAUAAACAAAAGUUACCACCAAAAGAGAUUUUUCACGGUGGUUUUUUAAAACAUGGAAUUAUCUUUUUUUAGGUUAGACCUUUGAAGUGUGUCAAGUUGACACUUUUAAUUCGUUUGAAAGCUACCAUAUAUAAAAGUAAUUUAUCAAUUAAUAUAUAUACAAAAUGCUCAUCAUAUUAAGUCAUGGCUCUCGGACAAUAUCUUUAUCGGUUAAUACCUUUCUUUAUUUUAUUAAUUUAAAAUUCCAUUAUGGUCGAUUCAGUUAAUUCAAUUUUUUUUAACUUUCGAAAAGCAAUUUCAAAAUAAAUUUUAAAAAAGUAGUACAAGCAUAAUAUUGAAAGAUAAAAAAAUAACCCUUUUAAUAGUGUUUUUCUUAGUUAGUCUUUACUCUCUACUCGUUCAAGACAAUGUUGUUCAGUUCAAACCAACAAGAAAAAACACAAAAGAGUUAGAAAACGAAAACCUUAAAACAAAAAACAAAAAAAAUUGAUAGAGAAAGGUAAAAACAAUAUUCAACGGAAUCUAGGAGUUUAAGAAAUAUGAUAAUGACAAAGUUAUAGAGCUAUAAGAACGAGUGAGUUGAGAAAUUCAGAAACAGAUAAGAACUUACGAGAAUGAGAGAGAAGACCAGAGAGGCUAGUGCAAAAAGGAACUUACGAGACUGAAAAAGAGGACCACAACAACUUCUGGUCAGAGGAGAGGAAUUAUGGUUGAUUUGAAAUAUUUUUGUUUUUAUAGAGAGGACCUGGUGACUUGGUUUGUGAUGUUCAACCGUAGUUUGUACAACGUAACAACAUCGGCAGGAACAACAAUGUGUGGAACAUAACAACAUUCUAUGGAAAACGUAACAACACCUGCAAAAAAACGUGUGUACAACGUUACAACAUGUAAUUUGAUGAAUCUGCACAACCUAUGUUAAAAAAAAAUUCAUAUUGCAUUUAAAAAACUAUAACGAAAAAAAUAGAAAAUGUAAACCCUAAAAUAGAAAGCAGAAAAAAAAAAUUAAUAAAGAAAAAGAAAGAAUGAGAAUGAGAAAAAUAUAAUCACAAUAGUAAUAUAAAAUUCAAGUAAAAAUAGAGUAAAAGCAUAAUAUUGAAAGAUAAUAUUAACAAUCUUUUAAUAUCCUUUGUUAAUCUUUACCCUCUACUCGAUCAAACCAAUGUUGUACAGUUCAGACUAACAAGAAAAACCACAAAAGAGUUAGAAAAUGAAAACCAUAAAACAAAAGAAAAAAAAAAUUGAUAGUAAUAAAUAAAAACAAGCUUCAACAAAAGUUGUGAGUUUGAGAAAGAUGAUAAUGACAGAGUUGUAGAACUCUAAGAACGGGAGAGUUGAGAAAUUAAGUAAGAGAUACGAACUUAGUGAGAUAGAGGACCACAUCAGUUAUUGUUCAGAUGAACUUACAAGAGUGAUAGACAAGACCACGACCGCUACUACUCAAAGGAGAGGAAUUAUGGUUUAUUUGAAUUUUGUUUUUGUUUUUAUACAUAUUGUUUCUUAAGUAGAUUGAACUGGACUCUUAAUGAGUUUUCCGACUCGGUCGAGUUUAGGUGCUGACUAUUAUUAUUUACAAAUCUGAAUCGACCCACCUACACCCAUUUGUACCCAUAAUCCAACUAGAUGACCUAGUUUGUGAUAAGAAUAAGAAGAAGAAGUCUUUACUCUUUCCAACUAAUGUUGUUCAAUUCAGACUAAAAAAGAAAAAACACAAAAGAGUUAGAAAACGAAAACCUUAAAACAAAAAACAAACAAAAAAUGAUAACGAAAAGAAAAAACAAGAUUCAGAAGUUCGGAAUUUGAGAAAGAUGACAAUGACAAGGUUGUAGAACUUUGAGAAUAAAAGAGUUGAGAAAUUGAGAAAGAGAUAAGAAUUUACUACAAAAGUGAGAGAGUGACAAGGAAGACCAUCGUAAUUACUUUUCAGAGGAGAUCAAUUAGGGUUGAUUUGAUAUAUUUUUUUUUUUUUUUGCUUUUAUACUUAAAGUUUCUUAAGUAGAUUGAAUUGGACUCUUAAUGUGGUUUCUAACUUGGUUGGGUUCGGGUACCAACUUUUGUUAUUUACAAAUCCGAAUCGGCCCACCUGCACCCACAUGUACUCGUAUUCCAAUCCGAUGACCUGGUUUGUGAUGUUCGACCCUAGUUUGUACAACGUAACAACAUCGAAGAUAUUACGGUCAGUUACUUUUACCGCUAAAUUGCUUUUGUUCUUUUAUUAAUUUCAAAUUCCAUUACGGUCAAUUCAUUAGAUUCAAAUUUUUUUGACUUUCGAAAAAAAAAAAUUCAAAAUAAAUUUCAAUCACGAAGAGAUUAUUAUGCUUACACUUGCUUCUCUGACGUCAUUCAUAUACAUAGAAACAUGUGAUAGUGCAAAUGUCAUUUUUCAUAUUUAUAAAAAUACAUUUGUCACUUUCAUUCACACUCAUUCAAAUAAUCAAGUUAUCAAAUUUUUCAUUUCAAUGCUUAAGAGCUUAUUUAAUACCAUAAGUAGAUUUAUCUAAGUUUACAUAUCUUGUUUUCUUGAACAUGAAUCACAAAACUUUCACGUUGUUCCAUAUAGAUUUCUUCUUACAAGUCACCAUUUAAAAAAAAAUGGUUUUGACAUUCAUUUGGUGUAUCUAAGUUAUGAACAACCUAUAAUGAGACGAGUACCCCAAUGGAUGUAGUUCUAGUGACCAGUGAAAAAGUGUCGAAGAAAUCCAUAUUUUCUCAUUGUCUAAAACAUUUGGCUACAAGGCGAGUCUUGUAUUAAUCAAAAACUCCAUCAGGUUUUAGUUUCUUUUUCAAUUCUCAUUAACAACCUAUUGGUUUGCAACUAGUAAGCAAUUCUACUAAAUGUUAAAUCUUGUUAGACUCUACAGAAUCUAUCCCAUCUUUUAUAGCUUAUUGCCAUAAGUUUGAAUUCAAAGAUGACAAAACUUCUUGAAGAUUUGCAUGAUCUUUUUCAAAGGUAUAGACCGUAUAAUCAAUUUUGUAAUCUUUAGCAACUAUGACUCUCUUACUUAUUUGAGGUUCUAUUUCGUCUUGUUUGUUGAUUUCAAUGCUCUUCGUCACAUGAGCGUAACUUGGUUCGUUGCCUCCACUAUUUCUCGAUUUGAAAAUGAAUUUAUUUUCAUAUAAGUCAAUAUCCUUUGCAUUUAGGUCAUAAUACCUAUAUGUUUUGCUCUUUACUGUACAUCCAAUUAAUACACAUUCAUAUGUUCUACUGGCGAGUUUAAAUCACUUGAGAUCAGAAAUUCUGAUAUAAGUUAGACAACCCCAAGUUCGGUUGUCUUUUCUUCAAAAUCUCAUAACGAGAUGUUUUAGUUUUUAGAUCUAUGAACUAUAUUGUGAACUAGGUCGCUUUCUUUAAGAUAUUUUGCGAAACUGCUCAAAUUGUGCAAGACACACUUUCAACUAUCCACCCCGAACUCCUUAGGAUAAAACAACCCAGAUGUAUUGGAGUUCAAUGAAGAAAAUCAUUCAUGAAAUACACCCUCAAUAUGGCAAGUUAAAGCCACCUAUAACAUGAUUAUGAACACUAAUAACUACGCCAUAAAAAACCACGAUAUUAGAACCACUCAAAUAAUAGAAAGACAACGAGAAAAGAGAAAGUUAGGAAUUGCAUCAACUUUGGUUAUUAUUAUUAUUAGGCUAAAUAUCACAUGUGGUCCCUUAACUUAAUUUUAGUUAACGUUUUAGUCCUUUAUCUUUUUUUUUCUCCCCAUUUAACUUAAUUCCGCAGAUGUAAUUUAGCUUUAUUAUUAUUAUUAUUAUUAUUAUUAUUAUUAUUAUUAUUAUUAUUAUUAUUAUUAUUAUUAUUAUUAUUAUUAUUAUUAUUAUUAUUAUUAUUAUUANNNNNNNNNNNNNNNNNNNNNNNNNNNNNNNNNNNNNNNNNNNNNNNNNNNNNNNNNNNNNNNNNNNNNNNNNNNNNNNNNNNNNNNNNNNNNNNNNNNNNNNNNNNNNNNNNNNNNNNNNNNNNNNNNNNNNNNNNNNNNNNNNNNNNNNNNNNNNNNNNNNNNNNNNNNNNNNNNNNNNNNNNNNNNNNNNNNNNNNNNNNNNNNNNNNNNNNNNNNNNNNNNNNNNNNNNNNNNNNNNNNNNNNNNNNNNNNNNNNNNNNNNNNNNNNNNNNNNNNNNNNNNNNNNNNNNNNNNNNNNNNNNNNNNNNNNNNNNNNNNNNNNNNNNNNNNNNNNNNNNNNNNNNNNNNNNNNNNNNNNNNNNNNNNNNNNNNNNNNNNNNNNNNNNNNNNNNNNNNNNNNNNNNNNNNNNNNNNNNNNNNNNNNNNNNNNNNNNNNNNNNNNNNNNNNNNNNNNNNNNNNNNNNNNNNNNNNNNNNNNNNNNNNNNNNNNNNNNNNNNNNNNNNNNNNNNNNNNNNNNNNNNNNNNNNNNNNNNNNNNNNNNNNNNNNNNNNNNNNNNNNNNNNNNNNNNNNNNNNNNNNNNNNNNNNNNNNNNNNNNNNNNNNNNNNNNNNNNNNNNNNNNNNNNNNNNNNNNNNNNNNNNNNNNNNNNNNNNNNNNNNNNNNNNNNNNNNNNNNNNNNNNNNNNNNNNNNNNNNNNNNNNNNNNNNNNNNNNNNNNNNNNUUAUUAUUAUUAUUAUUAUUAUUAUUAUUAUUAUUAUUAUUGGUUAGAUACCAAGAAAUAUACCCAAAGAUCGUACCUCCAUUUUAUAAACAAUAUAUAUACAAACUUCUACAUAUUUUUCAAUUCACAAUAACUAUAAGUUUCAACUUAACUUAAUUUCAAUAUGAUAUGGUACAUGAAGUAAAGGACUACUCAUUGACCAUAAGAGUUAUAACUUGGAUGUUGGUCAUGAUAUGUGUAUCUUUAUAAAUCAUUGGGUUUAUGGGGAUAUAUGAUUGGUCCUUGAAAAAAUCAAGUUUCACAUAAAUUGUCUUUAUGUUCAAAAAAAUAAAAAAUUAGACUACACAAUUGUUUAUGAUACAUGUUUUAGGACUAGGACUGAAAUUCAAAAUACUUUUUAAUAUUUGUACGACUAAAAACAUACAUACACAAUUACGAGGUUACAAAUUUAAAUUUAAAAAAUAAUGUAUAAUAUAAUAAUAUUAAUAUUUGAUAAUUGAAAUAGAACUUAAAAGACAAGACAAUUUAUUUUAUUUACAAAUAAUAGAUCAAUUAUUUAUUAUUUGUCUUUGUAUAUAUCCUUUAUCUUUUAAAAUGCAUAUAAAAUUACCUUAUUUUUUAUUUUUACUUUUCUGUCCAAAAAAUAAGAACCUAACAAUUUUUAUCUUCAAUUUAAAAUAAUAUUAUUUUAAUAUACAUAUUUAAUUAAAAAAAACUACAUUUAACUUUUCAUUAUAACAUGAUAUCAAUUUUUAUCUAUAAUUUUGUUUACUAAGGAACCCUUAAUAUAAAACGUAGCGAACAAUAUUGAAAACAUUGUACAACAAUUAUAGUUUAGUGAAUCAUAUAUUAUUUAUUAUUAUUAUUAUACUAUUUUAAAAUAAAACAUAAUAAAAAAUGUAUUUAAAAUUUGAAAUUUAAUUUAAUUUUUAAUUAAAUGUAUCAAUUUUUUAAUGCUGUUUCUAUUUAUAUUUAUUUCAAAAUAAAUAUUACAAUAAUUAAUAAUUAUUGCACCUAUAAUUUUAAAUGAAAGGAAGAAAAAUAUGUGAAAGAGAAUAUUCCACCAUAUACCAUACCAUGGCCCAACGGCGCACAAGUGAAAUCGAAAUCUACACAGCUGUCUCAUGAUAGGAUUCCACGUAGCCCUAACUCUAACCCAAAUCCUAACCCUAGUUGCGGAAUCCCCUGCUAUAAAUACCCUUUGCGUUCAGUGUAGAAAAUAUCUUCUUCAUUUCUAUUCACUCUAUCUAUCAUUUUAGUUUCUCAUCUUCUUUCAAUGGCCUCUUCCGCUGUUGAGUACCGUUGUUUCGUUGGUGGUCUAGCCGGUCCCCCCGACAGCGACGCCCUAGCCAAAGCCUUCUCUUCCUACGGCGAAGUUACUGAUUCCAAGGUCUGUUAGUUGCGGCGGAUCUGACACGAUUAUGAUUCGGAUUCUUCUCGAAACCAUUCUGAUCUGUGAUCUUUGAUCUGUUGUGUUACUUGAUCUAUUAUUUCACUGUUUCUGUUACUGUUACUAUAUCAUGAUUCUUUUAAUACUCACACCAAUAGGUACGUUCAUCUUCGUCUUUUAUACAAAGGAGAAGAUCGAUCGGUUACUAUUCGGUUAUGGAUCCGUUUUUUUGUUGUUGUGAUUUUUGGAUCUGAGAUUCUUGUGUUUUUUGUUUGUUUAGGUUAUUAACGACCGUGAGACUGGAAGGUCAAGGGGUUUUGGAUUUGUGACGUUUUCAACUGAGCAAUCCAUGAGAGACGCAAUUGAAGGGAUGAACGGUCAAGAUGUUGACGGACGUAACAUUACCGUGAACGAAGCUCAGUCUCGUGGUAGCGGUGGUGGAGGCGGCCGUGGUGGCGGUGGAUAUGGUGG
rnacentral:lncRNA from 1 species